UGGGUCAUGUGACCUACAAAGACCAAUCAGUUAGAGACUACAGCCUGUAUAAAAGCAGAGGAGGUGGCGCGUUUCCUUCUUCUUGAGAAUCUCCCGAAAGAAGUAGUGCAGUAGUAAAAUCAGAAGAAGAAGCAGCAGCGGUUCUGUAGAUCUGCUUCCAGUCUUUGCCGUCUCUGCAGUUAUGGAUCUGAACCCAGGACGCAGGUCUCGGUCAGCGCUGGGGGAACCACAUGCAGGUCCAGGUGAUGACCCUGGGUGACAUGGACAUGAACUGGAUGGAGACUGUACGAUCCAGGUAAUGUUUCUCAGCUCUGCAGCCUUUGGCUAACACAGCAGCAUGCUAUCCUAAGGAUCUGAGCUACAUGUGGCUCAUGGUUCUCCAAAUGCAUGCGAGAACAUUGGGUGGUCUUUGACUGCUGAGGCCCCUCUGCCUCCAGCAGCCACUCAACCGUCCUACAGGUCAGUAGACGGGUCAGAACCACUGACUCUUCUUCACUCUUUUUCAGAAGGGGUAAAUGUUGGUGUACAGGUUGACUGGGAAGUGAGCGCUAGCUCUGCCCUCUAAAGAUGUUGGUGUGAGAAGAUCACCAUGGAGACCAGCUGCAGGCCAGGAGUUCAGAAAGCUGCUGCUUGAUGAGAAUGUGUGCAAAGAAUCCAUGACAAAUGAUUGUGAAACUGAUGCUGUAAAACUGUCAGCUGUUGGGUUGGAAUAAAAACCACUGAAAAUA